GGCGCGGGCCGGGCUGGCUCGUGCGGGGCUCGCGCUGCGCGGCGGCCGCGGUGACAGCUCGGGGGAUGCUCCGCUCGGCCCCGCGAACAACAAUACACUCUGACGUCACGGGGAAUGGCGCCGCGCUCACACGCGCUCACACCGUCCUCGCGCGCGCACCCCGCGCACACUCGCCGCGCGCCCCCUCCUCCGGCCACGCCCUGAAACGCGGACCGGACCCUUUUCCUCUCCGGUCCUGCCCGGGGCAGUUGGUCGGACAGGCUUGGGGCAGGCCGACCCACUCCAGUCUACCCUGUCCCAUCAGGGCCAAAAACACGCAACCAUGGUGGCUUUGGGAAGUUGGGGGGCUCUGCGCUCCGCAACUGGGCGCCCGGUCCUGAGAACGCGCGCGUGCGCGUCCGACACACACACACACACACACACACACACACACACACACACACUCACACACCCUCUCCCUCCUGCUCCCACCCCCAGCUCUGCGCUCCCCUAACCCUGCCUCUGCUUGGAGGGGUGGAUUCCCAGAGCCUUGCGGAACGAAAUCAGCCUCCUCUGGCACAGAACUAAUAUUGAAAGAGCAACUUGAUACUGCGCAGAGCCACCUACGCGGUCUGAAACAAUGCGAGACCGAAAGAGGUUUCGAAGAUUCAUGUCUCUCUAUGCCCGUAGUAUAUAUAGCAAUAAUUACCGUCUAAAUACUCUGUAGCCAUCAUUGCUAGCUUCUAAGGUGGUGCCUGUGUCAACAACAGUCGAACCUUUAGCAUUUGACUAUUUUCAAAAUUACAUUUGAUUUUGGGGUUCAGAAUAUAUGGAGAGUUGGGGGUGGUGGCGAACUACAUAAAAUGUACUAAGACUUCAAAGUUUAUGGUAACCUUUUAAAACUUCUUAUGCCACUCAUGAGCUGUUUCGGUUGAUAAAGUUGUAAUUAGAGAAAGAGACGACUAUGCCCGAACCCCUCAUUAAUCGUGCGUGUAUUUGUCUUGAGUAGGUAAAGACAAAACGUCACGCCUACCGGAUUAUUUACCUAAAGUUAUGUCCUGAAGGUAAUGAUAUGUAAAUAGAACGGUGUGGGUUUCUUCCUGGUCAUCAUCUCAUCUUGUCCUCCCCAAAGCAUUUAACACACUUUUCUCUCUACUGUAUAACAUAAGGAAACCAAGAACACCGGAAUAGCUGUAAGCUCUUCCUAAACUGGGCUUAAGGAACGCAAGAUUUUGGUCCUAAUUUUACUUUGUGCUAUUCUGCACUACUAUGAUUACAAGUAAUUCUUGUCUGAAGAGUGAACACUCAAGUCUAGAAAGAACACAUUUCCUUGAAAAUGAGACCAGCCAGAGCGAUCUCCUGAGAGCCCUGUCAAGUGUCUGAGGUAAUGAAAUUGGUUGAUGACAAACAAUUAAGCCGAGACAGUUAAUUCUUCUAAAAUAUUUGUUUUAUUAAUUUAUUUGAAUAACAAAAAUGCUAUCCAUCAGCUUAAAGAAAUAUCCAAAGACUUAUUCUCUCUCCUUUUGUUUAAAAAUAGGAUUUAAAGAACACACUGAUACUAUCCCCUGGGAAAAACUUUACACUUGCAAUUUGCAUAAUUCUAACCAGGUGUGUCACAGUUUUAUCUUCCAUCUCAAAUAUAUUAAAUUUGAGAUUUGUUCACAUCUGCCUUUAUUCCCAAGAAUUGUCAUUAUGAGUACAGUAAUUGAUACACCAAGGGUUUUUUUUUAUUAUUAUUGUAAUGGUUUUUCUUCUAUAUAGAAAUAACUUUUGAGCAAGCAGAUCAUAGCAUGGAAUUUGUUAUUUUUCUGUAACAUAGUACUUCAUAAGAAGUUUGAGAGGCCAUUAUAAGACAACCUACUUUGUGUAUUUUGUUGAUUUAAUAUUAAGAGACUAUGUGUCACCCCACUUAAGCAGAUUUAAGUUGAUGUUCAAAAAGCUAUCAGUCUUGCGUGCCUUCGAUGACAGCUAAGUUUGAGCAAGCACAGUUCAGAGCUAAUUCUUGCAUACCAUUUCCCUUUGGGGUAUUGUGUUUUAAUCACACAGACCAGGUAAAUCUGCUAAAAGUCUGGUGAGUAUCUAUGCCAACCUAGAAUACUUCAGAGGUGGACCAUAAGAAAAGCCACCACUUCAGAGAGGUAACUGAUUUAGUCCUUUAUUUUGUAUUUCAGCCUAUUUGGUCAUCAGCUUUCCUGAGAUGCAUUUAUUUUUCUCAAUGUAUAAUAUGAGUGCAGUAGGGAAGAGGAAAGAUUUAAUGUGAAUCAAAUAUGAACCUUUUAUUUGUAAAUAACAUAAAUAUCAUUUUUAAAAUAUGUGUAUGUGUGUGUCUGUGUGAAGGUAUGCAAAAGUGAGUGCACUGGCCAUGGAGGUCAGAAAAGGUCAUAGCCUCUGUAGCUAGAGUGACAGGAAGUGGAGAGCCAAGCUGCCUGAUGUGGUCAAUGCUGGAACCAAACUCAGGUCCUCUGCAGAAGCAACAUAAGUGCUGAUAAUUAACCACGGAGCCAUCUCUCCAGCUCCUCUCUGGAUCACUAUUAUUAAAACAGUAUAUGGUAAAUUUCCCAAGAAAUAUGCAGGUAGAAUUAAUUGAAAAAUAGGAAAAUAAUUCUCCACUGGAAAAAUCAUGGGAACCUUUAAUAAAGCGGGUUCAUUAGAUAGAAGUGGGAUUUGCAACAUGUAAGGAUAUUUACUUUUGCAAGAAGGAAAUUAACAAACUACAACAACAACAAAAACUAUUUCCAAGCAAGAGUAGGAAAUUUCAGUCAGGACAGUUAACACCUAGGAGAAUGUUUAAGCAGGCAGAUGACAACUACCAAGUAUACUAAUAUGCCAAACUCUUAUUAGCUCAUGUGUUUUCUCAAGGGCCUUCUUAUGAGAAAUAAUAAUUCAAAGCCAGGGCCUAGGAGGGCCUGCCUAUAAAGUGGCCCCCAUCUAAUUUUCAUUCCUAUAGAACAACACCCAAGUCAAGCUACAUACAAUUACCUGUUACUCUAGCUCUAGGAAAUCCCAUGUCCUGUCUGGCCUCUGUGGAUACCCAAAGACAUGGCAUAUAUACACUCGCAUAGACACACACAUACAUGUAAGUAAAAAUAUUGCAACACAUUUAACAGUGAUUGUCCAGUGAGUAUCAAAUAAGUUAUAAUAACUAUUCAUUUAUCUACAGGAAGGUAGAGAUAAUAGUACGCUGGAAAAAAUGGCCAAAGGUCAUAGGAGAGCACAACAUCAAACAAAGGUAAACUUUAAAAGUUGGGGCCAGCCGGGCAGUGGUGGCGCACGCCUUUAAUCCCAGCACUUAGGAGUUGGGAGGCAGAGGCAGGUGGAUUUCUGAGUUUGUGGCCAGCCUGGUCUACAGAGUGAAUUUCAGGACUGCCAGAGAUAUACAGAGAAACCCUGUCUCAAAAACAAAACAAAACAAAACAAAAAACAAAAAAAACAGAAACAAAAACAACAUAAAACAAAACAAAACAAAACAAAAAACAAAACCAAAAAAGUUGGGGCCAGAAGUGAAGCUAUGUGUCUGGUCUCUUGGGAAAUUCAAGGCUUCAUCAUGGGCCUGUGCAAAGACUUUGCCAAAAGUUUCUGGGUUUCUGGAUGGAAUGAGUAGAAUAACUGUGUGGUAUUUAAAGCCUAUGUAUAAACAGUUACAGACUCCUUAGUUGGACAUCACAGGAGACAGUCUAGAAUGAAUGGAAACACCAUUAUUCCACACACAUAAGCACGCACACCAUGCCCCCCCCACACACACACACCAAAAGAAACGCACACAAAAACAGUAGAUACAUCAGAAAAAGUGGAAAGGGUGGGAGUCAAUACAAGAUGAGAGCAUUAAGGCAGAGUAGCAAGGCACAUAGCCAGGGCUGAAUAGCCUUUACAAUCAAAUAGCUUGUUCUUUGUCUCACAAAUAUAUUAUGGCCAAGGUAAGGACUUCUGAAUUCUAAAAUAAGGAUAUUUAAUGACUCUGUUUUCCUAAGUACCAUUUGCUAUUCAUAAAGCUCUAAUGCCUCUGGAAAGCCCACACAUGUGACCUUCCUGUUUCCUGUGUCUAUUCCUCUGCCCAUGGAAGCUCCAACAUGAAGUAAACCGCUUGUCCUAGGGCAUAACAAACAUUUCCUGAAUUAAAGUAUUGGAAAUUUACUGAAGAUCAUUCUUUUCAUUCUGAAUGCAAUAAAAGUUCCAGUGAAUCCAGAUUUAUUUCAAUGCUUUUUUUCCUUAACAACAAUUUUAUGUCUUCCAGGUCUCACUCAUGUGUAACAUAAAAGGUGUAAUGUAGAACCAAAUACAAUAUUCAUUAACUCUCUAUACUCAGAUAUUGAAGAGUGGAUGUCCCUGAAGACUAAUGAACUUUGGCUUGUAUAUAAUAUUUGAAUACUAGGUCUCCUGUGUAGUAUUUCAACAAUUCUAUGUCUCUUGCUGUAUCCAUUUUAAGCCAGGUUAAAAUUAAAAUACAAGUCGAAGCAUCAGAUGAACUUUGAUAACAAAGUGGCAAUACUGCAUAUCAGAAACUGAUUUUGUCUAGACUCGAGAUAAUGCUUUUAGAAGGAAAUGAGUGGAUUAGUUGAAUGUAUUUUUUACUUUAUUUAUUCGUUAAUAAUUUGUUGAAAUUAUUUAUUUUUCUGAUCUGUAGCAGUUUAGCAGUUUAGGAUUUCAGAUACUCUGAGUCUUUUUCACUAUAGGUGGCAAUGAAGCAAAGAACAAAAGAGGUUUUUCUUUUCUGCAAAACUCUCCUUCAGUUGAUUUCAUCUUCAUCAUUAACCAGUGUCAGUUUCAGUUUUUAGCUAAUUAGGGGUGUUUGAGACUUGUUUUUAAUUCUCUAGUCAGGUUUUACUGUCAGCCUUCGCUCCACUAAUUAUAAGGGCAUUUUCAUGAUGGCUCUGGAGUCUUAGUGCCAAAGUGUUCUUUAAAUGGGAGAGAAUUGGGGAAACAGAAGCUAAAAUAUGUUCAUAGCUUUCUUCUUUUGCACUUUCCUAAAUUGCUCUUUCUUUCUCUCUCUGUCUCCCUUUUUCCUGUUUUUAUCUUUCUGCUUCCUUAGGGCAAUAACAAACCCAGCUUCUGAGUAGGGCCCUUCAUUCAAGAAUUUACCUUCCCCCUUUAAACCCUUAAUUAGGCAUAGAGAACACAGUGUGAUUUAUGGCCUGGUGUUUAACAGGCUCACACUUAAUCCAUUACACAAAAGGGUUACACAUACGCCCUAACAGCGGCUCUCAUUAGUUUAUACAAAAUGAAAGAAAAAAAAAGGAAAAAGGAAAAAAAGAAAAAAGAAAAAGGAACCACUUAGAAAAUGUAAAUAGAGCUCUGGCUGAUAGUAUCUUUUUAUGCAUAUGCCAUGUGAUUCGAGUUUCAACACUGCAGUCUAACAGAGCUUUUUGCUUAUUUUCAGAGCUACAAAUUACAUUUCUCUAGGUAAACUCUAAUUCAAUCCCACUCUUACUAGCUAAGAAGGAAAAUCACGUGCUUCUAAAUUCAUCUUUGUGUGAAAAGAACAUUCUGAGUUCAGAAAGAAGACGAGAAUUCUGAUUCACACUUAAAUCUCAGAUGCUACACACAGGUCAAUGGCAUGUUGGUUAUGGCCUGCUUCACUUUGUGUUGAACAAAUGCACAGCUUUUGUGAUUGAGACUUCACAAAAGAGAACUUCAGAGGAAUCGCCAACAAGUAAUUCAUCCUGAUAAUUUUCCCACUGUCUGCAGUUUUAAGUUGUACAGUAGCUUCCUCCUUAUUGUAUCCAUAGCAUUGACAGCUCAAAGGGCAAUAUAAAGCUAUUUUGCUACUUUUACAAGGAUGGAUUGAAAGGAUGGGAGAUACAAGUCCUUUUGUAACAGAAGAAUUCUUAUUGCUUUCCCAUUGAGUUUUAUUGCAGGGGACACGGCACUGAUCAUCUUAGCCAACACACUUCCAGUAACCAUGGGGUGUCCUGAUUGAUUACCUCAAAAGCGUGGAUAACUGGAAGAUCUCUUAGGAGCCCAUUGUGGCAGGGAAAUGCCAUCCAGACCUGCAGCCAAGCAUGCGAUGGAAGAAAAGAAGUUAGACCAUGCAGGAACCGCCACUCCAGUGAGAACCACCCAGCAAUGAGGAAAGGCAACAGGGCUGCAUUUCAGGGGUGCAGAGGGAGAGAGAUCCUCCCUGUGUCAGUCCCUCAGGAUUUUCAUUUAUCAGCCCCCCAAGGGCUGGAGGUGAUGGCACAGCAAAGCAUAUUUAUUUUUUCCUGUGACACUAGAGAAAUACAGAAAACGAUAUUGCUCAUCUACUUCCUCUGGCUUUCCACAACUCUGUCACACUUAGGCAAGAUGUCCCCAAGGAAAGGGAUCAAAGCUAGUUAUGACAUUCAAAUGUCAAAAUAGUGAGGCAUGCCUUUUAACAAUACCUGGUAAGAAUAUUCUGGUAAGAAUUUUUAUCAAUGCACAUUUUUUAGCAGAAAAUUCUUUUCUCGAGAGACUCCCAUUUUUAAACCAAAAGGUGAUCAAUACUGUAGAACACCCAAAUGUCAAUCAAAACCAUUCUGUCUAGCCAGCAUUCAUUUGUUUCCACAUCAUAAGACUGGCUCUCCCUACUUUGUCUUUGUGGCUGGUUUGCUAUGUCUCUAUGCAGCAAAGGACUAGUUCAUGUUGGAAAACUUGUUUAAUCUUUUAAUUUCUGUUCUUUUAGAAUAUAUAAUUGUUACAACAUGCAAAAGGCUCAAGUUCAAAGUGAUGAGUCUGACAAUUUUAUAUUCAGCUAUAACUAUCAUUCAAAAGAACAUAUAAAACAUUUCUAUCAGCCAGAGCUUUCUUCCUGCUGUCAUAACUUAGACUGUGCAGGAAGAAACACUUUCAGACUGAUUUUAACUUGCUGUAAGCUCUUGAUAUUUUCCUGCCAGUCACGUGUCUGUAUGUGUUUGUAAUGGCAUCUACUGUGCUUAAUCAAGUUAUAUAGGUGUAUAUGUAUUAUACACCUAUAAGUGUUAUAUAGAGUUAUAUAGGUUAUAUGCAUUUAACUUUCUGUUAUGAUUAAGGAUUGGGGCAUUUGCGAAGAAUACCUUGUAUACCCCAAGGUCAAACAUGGCUAACUGGAAGAUCUCUUAGGAGCCAAGGUCAAUUAUCAUUCUGGCCUAGGAGCCACGCUUUUGUCUGUGGUAGAAACAUAAUUAAUUUUUGUGACUAGGAUGAGAUAUAACCUUUUACAAAAUUUAUUAUUUCAUUUAUUCAUUGAAUUUCUUUAGCCCUGUUAUCACACCAAAGACAGGACCUGUAUGGAUCUAUUUCUGGCCUUUUAAAUUUUUAUUCUAUUUGCCUGUUUGAUUUAUAUUACAUGUACUAGUGAAAAACCAUCAUAAUUAUUGAAGCUUUGCAGGGAAGUUGAAAUAAAAUACAUAAAUUUUGAGGGUUUCUUGCUUUUGUAUGCGUUUUAUAGCUAAUUGCUCUUCUAUACACAUUAAAGAUUUAGCCAAUUUUGGUAUAGAUAGACAUGAAUUUAGAGGUCAAUUUAAAAAGAAUAGCACAUUAGCCAAGUAGAAUGAAUAUAUUAAUGAAGUGAAAGAUCAUUUGAAGGACUCAAAUGGAAAGUACUAAAACUGGUAUAUUUGUAAAGUUGAGCUAUUAUUUUCCGGUUAUAUUUUAGAAUUUUUAAAGUAGAACUCUUGAACAAGGCUAUUAGAUUUAUAUUCAACUCUUGAGUAUUGCUAUAAUCUAAAAUGUUACUUUAACUUGUGUUUUGAUUUAUGUACUAAUAUUGUAUAAGAUUAAUAGUUUUUAAAAGAGUAUCUUUCAUGUUGUAACUUUGCCAAAUUAAUUUUUUGGUGUUAUUUAUUAUUUGCAAUAACUUACUUGAAAGCAUUGUGUUGUAUUCCUUUUCUGAAUUAAUACAUUUUAUUUAUUUUUCUUGCUUUAUUACACUAGCUAACAUUUUGAAAAAAAAAGCAUGAAUUCAUAUGAAGGAAAACCACAUCCAAAUAUCUAUGCUCUGGGGUGAAGAAGAAAACUAACAGUUCUUACUGCUCUUCUCAGCAUGAAGGUGUUAAAUUAUAUUAAAAGCAUUUCUUCAAACGAUACGGUUUUUUCCUACUCUGUAAACAUAAUAUGCAGGUUACAGUUUAACCAUGUUUGCAAUAAUAAAAUUUAUUAUAUUUAAUAUAAAGAUACUUUGAGAAGUUGCUGUCUUUGUUAUUUUGUUGAUGGUUUAAUCCUAAUGCUCAGAAGCAAAACUAAGCUUUAAUUUUCUUUUAAUGCAUGUAAAAUGUGUGAAUAUAAUAGUAAUGAAUUCAUUGUGUAAGUUGUAAUAUUUAUUCCUACUUUUGUUGAAAUGAUGUUUUACUAGAAUGUUAAUUUUUUUCCUUAAAUAAUGAGUAGAAUUUGCUGUAAACUUCAUAAAAGUAAAAUUACAAUUGUGUGCAUAAAGGCUUUUGGUAACAAAUUAAUUUUCUUAUAUAAAAGGCUAUCAAUGUUCUCUCUCCUCUGAUCUGCAUUUCACUAAAGCUUUGCACAUUUUAUUGGUAGUAGUUUGUGAUUUAAACAAAUUGAAUAUGGCAAAUUGAGAUACUGUAAUUAUUAUAUAUGUGAAUGUAUGAUGUAUUCAACUAUAAAUUUUAUCUAGAGUUAGAAUCCUUUGACCAAUCUCGAAGUCAAAACUAGCUCCUAUCACCAGGGUACAGGACCACAUAGGAAUAGUCUUCCUCACAUGAGUUCACUCACUUAAAACAACAUAUUGAUAUAGCUUUCAUUUAUUAAUGCUAUUGUAGGCAUUGCUAGUUUGUUUCUUUUUAUUUAUAAGUAGUAUUCUAUCUAUAAUUAUACGUCUAUGCAACACCAGACAAUGUAUCUACUUUCAGAUGAUUAUAAAUAGUACUGAGAACAUUUGUGCACAAAUAUUUAUGUGGACAUAUGUUUUCAUUUUCCUUGGUAAAUACCCACAAGUGAAAUUACUGUUUUAUGUUGUGUAUGUUUAAGUUUUCAAAUUGGUGAAUCUCAUUUAAACAUGUUUCCAAACUGAUACCUUAUGCUUCAGUAAAAUUUAUAUUUAAAACAUUUACCUAACUUUUUAUUAUAAUUUGUUGUUUUAUUAUUGAGUUUUAGGAAUUCUUCAUAUAUUGUGAACAGAAUUUUCAUAUUCUUUGAACAUAGGCUCUUCAUCAAAUAUCUGAUUUAAAGAUAUUUUCUCUUUGUGAUUUAUCUUUAAUUUCCUGACAGUAGUUUUGAAAUGGAAAGAUCAUUUUUUAUGUUGAUAAAAUCUGACCGCCUUCUU